GGCUGGUCUGCUAAUGGCUCUCGCAGUCGUUAGUUGUACCUAGUCAUCCGUACGGGAAUCUUAUUCGGCCUUCGCUGGUCGGUGAGUGGAUCGUACACUUUACUUUGAAAAAAUUAGAGUGUUCAAAGCAGGCCGUUACGGCUUGAAUAUCUUAGCAUGGAAUAAUAGAAUAGGACUUUGGUUCUAUUUUGUUGGUUUCUAGGACUAGAGUA
rnacentral:rRNA from 1 species